AGGGCACCACCAGGAGUGGAGCCUGCGGCUUAAUUUGACUCAACACGGGAAAACUCACCCGGCCCGGACACUGGAAGGAUUGACAGAUUGAGAGCUCUUUCUUGAUUCAGUGGGUGGUGGUGCAUGGCCGUUCUUAGUUGGUGGAGCGAUUUGUCUGGUUAAUUCCGAUAACGAACGAGACUCUAGCCUAUUAAAUAGACUGCGGGGUUUUAAGCCCCGGCUCGACUUCUGAGAGGGACAGGCGGUGAGCAAUCCGCACUGGAGACAGCAAUAACAGGUCUGUGAUGCCCUUAGAUGUCCGGGGCCGCACGCGCGCUACACUGAAGUGAUCAGCGUGCAUUUUUUCUCGCUCCGGGAGGAGCGAGUAACCCAAUGAACCUUUUUCCGGGUAGGGAUUGGGCAUUGUUAUUAUUGCACAUGAACGACGAAUUCACCGUCAGCGCGAGUCAUUAGCUUGAUUUGAUUUCGUCCCUGUCCUUUGGACACACCCACCGUCGCUACUUCCUAUUGUAGGAUAGA
rnacentral:rRNA from 1 species